AUCGCUUCUCGGCCUUUUGGCUAAGAUCAAGUGUAGUAUCUGUUCUUAUCAGUUUAAACUAACAAACUACAGAGGAGAAGGAAGCCAUUUUUUCUUGUGCUGAAGAUUAUGAAUAGCGGCGUGUUGGCAUGCAUUUUAUAUGUUACCAGUGGUUUAUAUAUAUAACCGCUUUCAGUUAAAGAAGC